rnacentral:rRNA from 1 species
AGGCUUCACCGGAGUUGCCGAAUCCGCCUCCGAGUUUGAUGCCGUAGUAGGCAUCCGACCGGUUCGCUUCAGUGGUGUAGGUGGUGCCGUAGUCACGUAGGCCGGUGGUCGGAUCGAGUUUGAACAUCCACAUACCUCCGAACCAUGAGCCGAAGGUCAUCCACAUGUCGCCAUUAUCAUCGGUUUUCACACACGGGUCGAUGGCAUUGAUGCCGGUAUCGGUCUGUGAGGUGUAGCGUGUGAUGUCCGCGCCAUCGCCCAGCACUUUCGGCACAUCGGUUUUGUUGACGUUCACACGUUCGAAGCCGGAGUAGACCACAGGCCCCACAUACGUCCAGUCGGCUUCGAUGUCAUCGGCGGUGAGCAACACGAUUGCGGAGCGAUAGUUCGCUCCGUUGAUCGACAUGUACAUGCACCAUUUUUUCAUGGUCUCGUUGUAGGUUACAUCCGGUGCCCACAUGUUGCCCUUCACAUCCGGAUUGGAGGACUGUUUGGCCCAGCCCACCCAUAUGUCGUUGAAGAUUUUCUCAUAGUCGGUGCUCAGGUUGUUGGUGAAUGGCGUCCAGCUGAUCAAGUCAUCGCUUUUGAGCCAUGCGCGCGGGUUGGAGAUGUCUCCUUGGGCGGAUUCAUCAAAAGGGGGCAUCAUCUCCGUCGCGUCACCUGCGGGCGGGGUUUGUGCAGACUGUUGCCCGGUGCCGGAAGGUUAAGAGGAUCCGUCAGCCCCUUGGGGGUGAAGCGGUGAAUUCAAGCCCCGGUAAACGGCGGUGGUAACUAUAACCAUCCUAAGGUAGCGAAAUUCCUUGUCGGGUAAGUUCCGACCUGCACGAAUGGCGUAAUGAUGGCCAGGCUGUCUCCACCCGAGACUCAGUGAAAUUGAACUCGCUGUGAAGAUGCAGUGUACCCGCGGCAAGACGGAAAGACCCCGUGAACCUUUACUAUAGCUUGACACUGAACACUGGUCCUUGAUGUGUAGGAUAGGUGGGAGGCUUUGAAGCGUGGACGCCAGUCUGCGUGGAGCCAUCCUUGAAAUACCACCCUUUAAUGGCUGGUGUUCUAACGUGGGCCCGUUAUCCGGGUUGCGGACAGUGUCUGGUGGGUAGUUUGACUGGGGCGGUCUCCUCCCAAAGCGUAACGGAGGAGCACGAAGGUUAGCUAAUCCUGGUCGGACAUCAGGAGGUUAGUGCAAUGGCAUAAGCUGGCUUGACUGCGAGCGUGACGGCGCGAGCAGGUGCGAAAGCAGGUCAUAGUGAUCCGGUGGUUCUGAAUGGAAGGGCCAUCGCUCAACGGAUAAAAGGUACUCCGGGGAUAACAGGCUGAUACCGCCCAAGAGUUCAUAUCGACGGCGGUGUUUGGCACCUCGAUGUCGGCUCAUCACAUCCUGGGGCUGAAGUAGGUCCCAAGGGUAUGGCUGUUCGCCAUUUAAAGUGGUACGCGAGCUGGGUUUAGAACGUCGUGAGACAGUUCGGUCCCUAUCUGCCGUGGGCGCUGGAGAAUUGAGGGGGGCUGCUCCUAGUACGAGAGGACCGGAGUGGACGCAUCACUGGUGUUCGGGUUGUCAUGCCAAUGGCAUUGCCCGGUAGCUAAAUGCGGAAGAGAUAAGUGCUGAAAGCAUCUAAGCACGAAACUUGCCCCGAGAUGAGUUCUCCCUGACUCCUUGA